GACGAACGCUGGCGGCGUGCCUAAUACAUGCAAGUCGAGCGGACUGAAUGGGAGCUUGCUCUUGUUCGGUCAGCGGCGGACGGGUGAGUAACACGUGGGCAACCUGCCCGCAAGACCGGGAUAACUCCGGGAAACCGGAGCUAAUACCGGAUAACACCGAAGACCGCAUGGUCUUUGGUUGAAAGGCGGCGCAAGCUGCCACUUGCGGAUGGGCCCGCGGCGCAUUAGCUAGUUGGUGAGGUAACGGCUCACCAAGGCGACGAUGCGUAGCCGGCCUGAGAGGGUGACCGGCCACACUAGGACUGAGACACGGCCCAGACUCCUACGGGAGGCAGCAGUAGGGAAUCUUCCGCAAUGGGCGAAAGCCUGACGGAGCGACGCCGCGUGAGCGAAGAAGGCCUUCGGGUCGUAAAGCUCUGUUGUGAGGGACGAAGGAGCGCCGUUUGAAGAAGGCGGCGCGGUGACGGUACCUCACGAGGAAGCCCCGGCUAACUACGUG
rnacentral:rRNA from 1 species